GAUCAUGGCUCAGGAUGAACGCUGGCGGCGUGCUUAACACAUGCAAGUCGAACGAUGAAGCUGGAGCUUGCUCUGGUGGAUUAGUGGCGAACGGGUGAGUAACACGUGAGCAACCUGCCCCUGACUCUGGGAUAACAGCCGGAAACGGCUGCUAAUACCGGAUAUGCACCAUGAACGCAUGUUCUGUGGUGGGAAAGAUUUUUCGGUUGGGGAUGGGCUCGCGGCCUA
rnacentral:rRNA from 1 species